rnacentral:rRNA from 1 species
AUGGCAGCCAGCAACGGCGGCGCGCUCCCCGUGGUGGAUCUGGCACCGUUCUUCGCCAGGGACGGCGCCGACGACGCGGGCGCGCGCGCCCGGGCCACCGAGGCCGUGCGCGAGGCGUGCCAGGCCACCGGGUUCUUCCGCGCGGUGAACCACGGCGUGCCGCGGGAGCUCAUGGCGCGCGUGCUCGAGCUGUCGGCGGCGUUCUUCGCGCUGCCGGACGAGGAGAAGGCCAAGGUGCGGCCCGCCGAGGGCGCCUCCGCCGCGCCGCUCCCGGUGGGGUACGCGCGGCGCACUCCGACGACAAGAACGAGUACCUGCUCCUCUUCAACCCCAACCUCGGGCUCAACCACUACCCCGCCCAGCCGACCGGAUUCAGAUGCGCUGGAGGAGUGCUACGCGAAGCUCGCCGAGCUGGGGCUGCUCGUCCAGGACAUCCUGAGCGAGUGCAUGGGCCUGCCACGAGGCUUCCUCGCUGAGUACAACGCCGACCGCGGCUUCGACUUCCUCACCGCGCUUCGCUACUUCCCGGCGACAUCCUCCGACGAGAACAACGGCAUCAGCGCGCACGAGGACGGCAACUGCAUCACCUUCGUCCUGCAGGACGGCGUCGGGGGGCUGGAGGUGCUCGGGGCAGACGGCCGCUGGGUCCCCGCGGAGCCCGUGGAGGGCAGCAUCGUGGUCAACGUGGGCGACGUCCUGCAGGUGCUGAGCAACAAGAAGUUCAAGAGCGCCACGCAUAGGGUGGUGAGAAGGCCGGGGGCGCACCGCCACUCGAUCGCCUUCUUCCUCAACCUCCACGGCGACAAGUGGGUCGAGCCGCUGCCGGAGUUCGCGGGCCACGCCAGCGAGCCGCCGCGGUACAGAGGGUUCCGAUACAACGAGUACAUGCAGCUGCGGAUGAGGAACAAGACCCACCCGCCGGCCAGGCCCGAGGACGUCGUCCACAUCACCCAUUACGAGAUCUAG